UGAGUGUGUGCAACUGGAGAGUGCCGCUCGGUCUUAAUCUGUCGUUGCCUCAUAUGGUUUGUGCUCGUGCGUCUGUCAGAUUUAGCACUUUGUCACAGGAGGUGCAGAUCAUAAUGUCGCUCAGGAGGAGAAGGACCGCCAAAUACUUUUUUCACUCCUGGUUGUAAACCUCUUAACAGACAAACAAACACGCACUGCCGGAAUAGCACCGUCCAGUUCCAGAAGGAUCAGCUUGUGAAACACAAAAGAAGAAAAGGGCUGCCAGUCAAUCACUGUCUUUUUAUGAUAACAGACUGGCAGAAGGAUGAUGAGGGUAGACAGUGUUUGCAGGCAAGAGAGCUAGAGAGAGACCUACAAACCUGGAUAAAAUUGUGGGAAGUGUAGUGCAGAUGCCAUGUCUCUCAGUCAACUGCAGCGGGGCGACGGUGGCAGCUGUGGAGGUGGCGAAUGGGAGGUGGGACUUGCCACUCUGGAGAAGCAGCUGAUGUGUCCCAUCUGCCUGGAGAUCCUCCACAAGCCCAUCGUCAUCCUGCCAUGCCAGCACAACCUGUGCAGGAGGUGUGCCAAUGAGCUCUACC